rnacentral:rRNA from 1 species
GACGAACGCUGGCGGCGUGCUUAACACAUGCAAGUCGAGCGGUAAGGCCCUUUCGGGGGUACACGAGCGGCGAACGGGUGAGUAACACGUGGGUGACCUGCCCUCAGCUCUGGGAUAAGCCUGGGAAACCGGGUCUAAUACUGGAUAUGACUCCAUGACGCAUGUUGUGGGGUGAAAGCCUUGUGCGGCUGAGGAUGGGCCCGCGGCCUAUCAGCUUGUUGGUGGGGUGANGGCCCACCAAGGCGACGACGGGUAGCCGGCCUGAGAGGGCGACCGGCCACACUGGGACUGAGACACGGCCCAGACUCCUACGGGAGGCAGCAGUGGGGAAUCUUGCGCAAUGGGCGAAAGCCUGACGCAGCGACGCCGCGUGAGGGAUGACGGCCU